rnacentral:rRNA from 1 species
UACAGAGGGUGCGAGCGUUAAUCGGAAUUACUGGGCGUAAAGCGUGCGUAGACGGUCAAGUAAGUCGGGUGUGAAAGCCCCGGGCUCAACCUGGGAACUGCAUCCAAAACUGGCGAGCUAGAGUACGGUAGAGGGUGGUGGAAUUUCCUGUGUAGCGGUGAAAUGCGUAGAUAUAGGAAGGAACACCAGUGGCGAAGGCGACCACCUGGACUGAUACUGACACUGAGGUGCGAAAGCGUGGGGAGCAAACAGG